AAGCAAAUUCAGCUCAGCUUAGCUUGCCUGCUCAGCAGCAAAUAUGCACUCUUUGCUUUGCAACUAGAUGUUUAUUGUUUUGUUCCUUUUUUGGAAGCUCUUUGGCGAAAUAUUCCACCAAUGUGGAAAUACUGAACGAAAAAGAAAAAUACCGUGUCAAAUCAAUUGCUCGUAUUGAUUUUCGAAUGAAAAAUGUAAAUAUACCGAUGGUCGGUUGCGUUGCCAGACGAACUGUUAUUAUCAAAUGAAUUUUGUUGUUCAGCAUCACGUUCAACGUUUCGAAUUUAGUGGAAAUAUGAAACUAGUAAUUUCCAUUGUUUGUGCUUUGUUGUUCAUUGGUGCGUGUGUGUAUCAAAGACAAAAAAUGAUCCAUUCAAUAUUCUCUUAAAAACUCUAUUCGUUGUAGGUGUAUCAGCGAAACAGAAUGAACAACAGCCUUUCGCAAGAGAUUGCGGUAUAUGUCCUAAAAUUAUCCGACAUAUCAGGAGAGUCAUUGGUGAUAAUAUAACCCCGGAAAAGGUCCUAGAAGUAUUCUAUUUCAUUUGCGGUAACGUUGUAACACCUCCUCCUUAUACGCAAAGUUUGACCGAUUUAAAGGUUAUCGAUGAUAUCAGAUGUAUAAAAUAUAAUUUGUAUAUAAAGAAAGCCGCACCUGAGAUAGCCAAUCUGCGAGUUCCAGAAACUCAUUGUUGCGAACAGCUAAAAGAAUGCAUAGACAUGGGCAUGGUCAUGGGAAAUGGCUAAGAAAUAACGAUGCUAAUUAAAGUUGCUAUUAUGAAAUUCAUGAAAAAUUGUGAUUUUUCUUAUGUUAUUAUAUCUUUUCGUUCAAAUGACUGUGAAAUAAAUCAAUUUU